AGGUGCGAUCAUACCAGCACUAAUGCAUCAGAUCCCAUCAGAACAGUGCAGUUAAGCGUGCUUGGGUGAGAGUAGUACUAGGAUGGGUGACCUCCCGGGAAGUCCUCGUGUUGCACCUC
rnacentral:rRNA from 1 species